GAAGGUAUAGCUCAGGUGGUAGAGCACAUGCGUAGUAUGCACAAGAUCCUGGGUUCAAUCCCCAGUAACUAUU
rfam:Camelus ferus unplaced genomic scaffold scaffold94, whole genome shotgun sequence.